UGGGGAAUUUUGGACAAUGGGCGAAAGCCUGAUCCAGCAAUGCCGCGUGUGUGAAGAAGGCCUUCGGGUUGUAAAGCACUUUUGUCCGGAAAGAAAUCCUUGGCUCUAAUACAGUCGGGGGAUGACGGUACCGGAAGAAUAAGCACCGGCUAACUACGUGCCAGCAGCCGCGGUAAUACGUAGGGUGCAAGCGUUAAUCGGAAUUACUGGGCGUAAAGCGUGCGCAGGCGGUUUGCUAAGACCGAUGUGAAAUCCCCGGGCUCAACCUGGGAACUGCAUUGGUGACUGGCAGGCUAGAGUAUGGCAGAGGGGGGUAGAAUUCCACGUGUAGCAGUGAAAUGCGUAGAGAUGUGGAGGAAUACCGAUGGCGAAGGCAGCCCCCUGGCAAGUACUGACGCUCAUGCACGAAAGCGUGGGGAGCAAAACAGGAUUAGAUACCCUGGUAGUCCACGCCCUAAACGAUGUCAACUAGUUGUUGGGGAUUCAUUUCCUUAGUAACGUAGCUAACGCGUGAAGUUGACCGCCUGGGGAGUACGGUCGCAAGAUU
rnacentral:rRNA from 1 species